GGUUAAGCGACUAAGCGUACACGGUGGAUGCCCUGGCAGUCAGAGGCGAUGAAGGACGUGCUAAUCUGCGAAAAGCGUCGGUAAGGUGAUAUGAACCGUUAUAGCCGGCGAUGUCCGAAUGGGGAAACCCAGUGCAAUUCGUUGCACUAUCGUUAACUGAAUACAUAGGUUAACGAGGCGAACCGGGGGAACUGAAACAUCUAAGUACCCCGAGGAAAAGAAAUCAACCGAGAUUCCCCCAGUAGCGGCGAGCGAACGGGGAGCAGCCCAGAGUCUGAAUCAGCUUGUGUGUUAGUGGAACGGUCUGGAAAGUCCGACGGUACAGGGUGAUAGUCCCGUACACCAAAAUGCACAGGUUGUGAACUCGAAGAGUAGGGCGGGACACGUGGUAUCCUGUCUGAAUAUGGGGGGACCAUCCUCCAAGGCUAAAUACUCCUGACUGACCGAUAGUGAACCAGUACCGUGAGGGAAAGGCGAAAAGAACCCCGGCGAGGGGAGUGAAAAAGAACCUGAAACCGUGUACGUACAAGCAGUGGGAGCACCUUCGGGUGUGACUGCGUACCUUUUGUAUAAUGGGUCAGCGACUUAUAUUCUGUAGCAAGGUUAACCGUAUAGGGGAGCCGCAGGGAAACCGAGUCUUAACUGGGCGUUAAGUUGCAGGGUAUAGACCCGAAACCCGGUGAUCUAGCCAUGGGCAGGUUGAAGGUUGGGUAACACUAACUGGAGGACCGAACCGACUAAUGUUGAAAAAUUAGCGGAUGACUUGUGGCUGGGGGUGAAAGGCCAAUCAAACCGGGAGAUAGCUGGUUCUCCCCGAAAGCUAUUUAGGUAGCGCCUCGUGAACUCAUCUUCGGGGGUAGAGCACUGUUUCGGCUAGGGGGUCAUCCCGACUUACCAACCCGAUGCAAACUACGAAUACCGAAGAAUGUUAUCACGGGAGACACACGGCGGGUGCUAACGUCCGUCGUGAAGAGGGAAACAACCCAGACCGCCAGCUAAGGUCCCAAAGUCAUGGUUAAGUGGGAAACGAUGUGGGAAGGCACAGACAGCCAGGAUGUUGGCUUAGAAGCAGCCAUCAUUUAAAGAAAGCGUAAUAGCUCACUGGUCGAGUCGGCCUGCGCGGAAGAUGUAACGGGGCUAAACCAUGCACCGAAGCUGCGGCAGCGACACUAUGUGUUGUUGGGUAGGGGAGCGUUCUGUAAGCCUGCGAAGGUGUGCUGUGAGGCAUGCUGGAGGUAUCAGAAGUGCGAAUGCUGACAUAAGUAACGAUAAAGCGGGUGAAAAGCCCGCUCGCCGGAAGACCAAGGGUUCCUGUCCAACGUUAAUCGGGGCAGGGUGAGUCGACCCCUAAGGCGAGGCCGAAAGGCGUAGUCGAUGGGAAACAGGUUAAUAUUCCUGUACUUGGUGUUACUGCGAAGGGGGGACGGAGAAGGCUAUGUUAGCCGGGCGACGGUUGUCCCGGUUUAAGCAUGUAGGCUGGUUGUCCAGGCAAAUCCGGAUAAUCAAGGCUGAGGUGUGAUGACGAGGCACUACGGUGCUGAAGUAACAAAUGCCCUGCUUCCAGGAAAAGCCUCUAAGCAUCAGGUAACAUCAAAUCGUACCCCAAACCGACACAGGUGGUCAGGUAGAGAAUACCAAGGCGCUUGAGAGAACUCGGGUGAAGGAACUAGGCAAAAUGGUGCCGUAACUUCGGGAGAAGGCACGCUGGUGUGUAGGUGAAGCCCCUGCGGGUGGAGCUGAGACCAGUCGAAGAUACCAGCUGGCUGCAACUGUUUAUUAAAAACACAGCACUGUGCAAACACGAAAGUGGACGUAUACGGUGUGACGCCUGCCCGGUGCCGGAAGGUUAAUUGAUGGGGUUAUCCGUAAGGAGAAGCUCUUGAUCGAAGCCCCGGUAAACGGCGGCCGUAACUAUAACGGUCCUAAGGUAGCGAAAUUCCUUGUCGGGUAAGUUCCGACCUGCACGAAUGGCGUAAUGAUGGCCAGGCUGUCUCCACCCGAGACUCAGUGAAAUUGAACUCGCUGUGAAGAUGCAGUGUACCCGCGGCAAGACGGAAAGACCCCGUGAACCUUUACUAUAGCUUGACACUGAACAUUGAGCCUUGAUGUGUAGGAUAGGUGGGAGGCUUUGAAGCGUGGACGCCAGUCUGCGUGGAGCCAACCUUGAAAUACCACCCUUUAAUGUUUGAUGUUCUAACGUUGGCCCCUUACCGGGGUUGCGGACAGUGUCUGGUGGGUAGUUUGACUGGGGCGGUCUCCUCCCAAAGCGUAACGGAGGAGCACGAAGGUUAGCUAAUCCUGGUCGGACAUCAGGAGGUUAGUGCAAUGGCAUAAGCUAGCUUGACUGCGAGCGUGACGGCGCGAGCAGGUGCGAAAGCAGGUCAUAGUGAUCCGGUGGUUCUGAAUGGAAGGGCCAUCGCUCAACGGAUAAAAGGUACUCCGGGGAUAACAGGCUGAUACCGCCCAAGAGUUCAUAUCGACGGCGGUGUUUGGCACCUCGAUGUCGGCUCAUCACAUCCUGGGGCUGAAGUAGGUCCCAAGGGUAUGGCUGUUCGCCAUUUAAAGUGGUACGCGAGCUGGGUUUAGAACGUCGUGAGACAGUUCGGUCCCUAUCUGCCGUGGGCGCUGGAGAAUUGAGGGGGGCUGCUCCUAGUACGAGAGGACCGGAGUGGACGCAUCACUGGUGUUCGGGUUGUCAUGCCAAUGGCACUGCCCGGUAGCUAAAUGCGGAAGAGAUAAGUGCUGAAAGCAUCUAAGCACGAAACUUGCCCCGAGAUGAGUUCUCCCUGAGACUUUAAGUCUCCUGAAGGAACGUUGAAGACGACGACGUUGAUAGGCCGGGUGUGUAAGCGCAGCGAUGCGUUGAGCUAACCGGUACUAAUGAACCGUGAGGCUUAACCUU
rnacentral:rRNA from 1 species